AAACCAACCGGGAUUGCCCCAGUAACGGCGAGUGAAGCGGCAAAAGCUCAAAUUUGGAAUCCUGCGGGAGUUGUAAUUUGAAGGCUGUAAGGUGGUGGCUCGGCCCUGUGCAAGUCCAUUGGAACAUGGCGCCAAGGAGGGUGACAGCCCCGUGGCACUAGGUCAACCACCAUAUACUUUACGGCCAAAGAGUCGAGUUGUUUGGGAAUGCAGCUCUAAGUGGGUGGUAAAUUCCAUCUAAAGCUAAAUAUUGGCGAGAGACCGAUAGCGAACAAGUACAGUGAUGGAAAGAUGAAAAGCACUUUGAAAAGAGAGUGAAACAGUACGUGAAAUUGUUGGAAGGGAAGGGCUUGCAAGCAGACACAACUUUUGUUGGGCCAGCAUCGGGGCGGAGGAGAGCAAAACAGGCGGUGAAUGUGGCGCCAGUCCUUUGGGCUGGCGUGUUUAUAGCGCCGCCAAAUACUCUCAUUCUGCCCCGAGGCCAGCGCAUUUCGCAAGGAUGCUGGCGUAAUGGUUGCAAGUCGC
rnacentral:rRNA from 1 species